AUCCUUUCGUAGUUCCUAAGCGUGAUGAUUGGGUGUACACACUUGUAAGAUGUGCCUCCCUCACACCUUGGUACAACAUUAGCAUAUCACCCAUCCAACA
ensembl:snoRNA